CCGUGGACGGAAGAAGAACACAGGAAAUUUUUAAUUGGACUAAAAAGAUUUGGCAAGGGUGAUUGGAGAAGCAUUUCAAGGAAUGUGGUGGUGACAAGAACACCAACACAGGUAGCUAGUCAUGCCCAGAAGUACUUUCUUCGGCAGAAUGCCGUGAAGAAAGAGAGGAAGAGGUCUAGCAUCCAUGAUAUUACCACUGUCGAUAGCAACUUAGUUCCUGUGCCAGCUAAUAAAAAUUGGAACCCUCCUUUAGGCGCCCCUGCUAACCAGCCCUCUGUUUUGCAAGAGAUGCCCCAAGCAGAUCAUUUACCUAAUCAGGAACACCCAAUGGGAUACCAAAACUAUGGCUUCCCUAUGUAAAGAUUCAUAGUAACAAAGUAAUCUGCAUGUAUUGCUGCAGCUUGCUUGACGUCCAAUUUGUAUAUAGUCUAUUCAUGUUCUUUUAGCUACAGGUGAUUAGGAUUAGGAACAUAGUGAAGUGCACUUGAUGGCAC
rnacentral:misc_RNA from 1 species